GGUGAGAUGGCCGAGCGGUCUAAGGCGCUACGUUCAGGUCGUAGUCAAGAAAUUGGCGUGGGUUCGAAUCCCACUCUCAUCA
rnacentral:tRNA from 1 species